CACGGGGGGAGCAAGCGUUGUUCGGAAUCACUGGGCGUAAAGGGCGUCUAGGCGGUCAGAUAAGUCGGAUGUGAAAUGCCCCGGCUCACCCGGGGACCGGCAUCCCAAACUGUCUGGCUUGAGUAUGGGAGAGGAUGUGGGAAUUCCUGGUGUAGCGGUGAAAUGCGUAGAUAUCAGGAGGAACACCGGUGGCGAAGGCGCACAUCUGGCCCAAUACUGACGCUAAAGCGCGAAAGCUAGGGGAGCAAACGGG
rnacentral:rRNA from 1 species